UUAAAUUAACAACUUUAGUUUCAUUGGGCCUCUAAGCUAAAACAAGAACGAGCGACUCGCACACAAGUUAGAGUCUUUUUGACCCGUCCUGAAACACGGACCAAGGAGUCUAACAUGUGUGCGAGUCACUCGGUCUUGUUUAGGCCAGAGAGGCGCAAUGAAAGUAAAGUUUGUUAAGUUACGAUCCCCAUGCGGUCACUCCCUGGUGGGUGACGGUGGGGCGCAGUAACGGCCCGCCAAUUUCGCCUAUUGACGAUCUGGCGGAGUCGUAGCAUACACGUUGGUACCCGAAAGAUGGUGAACUAUGCCUGGGCAAGACGAAGCCAGAGGAAACUCUGGUGGAGGUCUGUAGCGAUUCUGACGUGCAAAUCGAUCGUCAGACCUGGGUAUAGGGGCGAAAGACUAAUCGAACCAUCUAGUAGCUGGUUCCCUCUGAAGUUUCCCUCAGGAUAGCAGACACGCGGUGAGAUUCAGUCUCAUCCGGUAAAGCUAAUGAUUAGAGGCAUUGGGGUCGAAACGACCUCAACCUAUUCUCAAACUUUAAAUGGGUGAGAAGUAUGACUUGUUUGAUUAAAGCCAUACUCUCGGAUGUAUGCGUGCCUAGUGGGCCAUUUUUGGUAAGCAGAACUGGCGCUGUGGGA
rnacentral:rRNA from 1 species